rnacentral:rRNA from 1 species
UACGAAGGGGGCUAGCGUUGCUCGGAAUCACUGGGCGUAAAGCGCACGUAGGCGGCUUUCUAAGUCAGGGGUGAAAUCCUGGAGCUCAACUCCAGAACUGCCUUUGAUACUGAAGAUCUUGAGUUCGGGAGAGGUGAGUGGAACUGCGAGUGUAGAGGUGAAAUUCGUAGAUAUUCGCAAGAACACCAGUGGCGAAGGCGGACAGCCUGGUUGGCUCCUGACGCUCGG